rnacentral:lncRNA from 1 species
GGCUCUGCAAAACAGGGGUAACAACUGGGCGUGAGAACUACUAUAAAAACAAGUAGUCCUCAGUGGGUGCCGCCCAAAACAACAUCAGUCCACCCACUAAGUCUACAGAAGGGAGCAAGAAUAGUAGUAAAUGCAGGAAUAAAGUCUACCGCUAUCAAACACUACAUUAUCAUGCUCUACACUAACCAACUGUAAAAAAAUGUCCAAUCUGACCCAAUCCAAUCGGGACUGUAAGCAUACCCGUCCCCGGGACUGUGAAUACACCCGUCCCUGCCCCGUUGCGACUAUCGGGCUCUAUCCACACUAACUGGUCCGUAGAGAGCAAGUCCAACUGGCAUGAGCGACACCAACGCGAAAGCACAAAGCCUGACUCCGGAGUGGCACUCGUGGGCGCUACCCAACCGAGUAUGCAGCGUAUCUCUGUCGAGCUCAAACAGGCUCUGAAAAGCCAAAGUCAAGUAACCGACUCAAACUGGUCUAACCACCAACAGGUAAUGUGCCCUCGGCACAAUCUGACGCCAAAAAGGCGAUACGGGUCCACCGUCAACUCUGACGGCACCCACCAGUCGGGAACAACCUGAACGAUCCUGUAAAAAUCCACUCGGCGCACCAGCACGAGCGUAAAUGUAAUCUAAACUACCUGGAGUACUCGUCUCGAAAAUACUGCGACAGUACAAUUUAAUAACGGCUCCUAGAGCUAAAUCAGGCAGUUUAAACGAGUGACAGGUCCAAAUCGCAGGUUUUCUCCUAAUUCAAUUUCCAAGUCCAACAUGUAUAACCUACUUAAUUUAUUACCACAUGCUCCAAAUUCAGAUUUGCAAUCUACGAUAUAAUCCAUGAAUUCGAGCUAGAAUAGAGUAUCCAAAGGUCGAAAAUUAUACAUGCCGACGAAUAUGAACUUAGGAGUAAAAACCGAUGUAACCCACCUCUCAAGCAACUCCUGGCAGCGAAGAAAACGUUAAAUCCGACCAAGCUAACCUUAUCCAAAUUCAGCAAACAAGGGUCCUGAAGCUUUGUCUUGAAGUCACGAAUCCAAUGGCCCAGGUUUCGCUGAAUUCUGACGCUCCUACGCAGAGAACGGGCCAGAAUACGAAACGUCGACGCUGGAACCUGCGAAACAGCAUCUCUGAAAUCUGCUCGGCAAACAACAGCCUAGUAAAACUAGGGUUUGACAGGGCAAACCUGCUCCAAAAAUCGCGAUCUUGGGCUCAGAAUCUUCGUCUCGAAGUCGCGAAUCUAACACGUCAAAUUUCGUCGCGUUUCGACACUCCUACACAGAGAACUAGGUAAAACACGGCGGGUCGAUGCUGGAAUCAGCAAUCAGCACUUCAGAGUCUGCUCGGCAAACAGCAACUCAGUAAAAAGAGAUUUCAACAGAGAAAACCUUCUCCAAAUUGGGCGAGUAAGGAUCCUAUGAAUUCGUCUCGAAGUCCCGGUUCCAACGAACCAAAUCUCGUCGAAAUCCGAUGCUCCUACGUCGCGUACGAGCUGAAAUACUAACAGUCGACGACAAGAUCCUGCGAAUCAGCACUUAAGCUCGAAUUGAAUGAAGCUUGAAGUAGAGAAGAAAUCCAUAGAGGAAUGAGAGAUUACCCACCUCAACCAGCGACUCCAAUUCCGGCACGGCGUCGAGAACGACGAAAACACUCCCUCGCCCGGCCUCCUCGCUAAACUACGGCGACGCACGUAUGCUCGGACGGCUCGGCGACGCGACGUCGGCGACGAACGCUCCACCCAAGCUCCUCCUCCUUGCGUAUGGCUCCAGAGACAGAUAGGGAGGAAAUUUAAUUAAAGAGGUGUUGGUUGCAACCCUCAAUUAAAAUGGAUAAGCAUGCAUGCAUGGGAGGGGGGUACGUGGCAGCAUCCAUAUAUAUAUAUAUAUAUAUAUAUAUAUAUAUAUGAGGAUACUACAUUCUGAGAGCCCAAUUCCCAUGUUCUUUACAACUCAAUAUCUUGCAAAGCACAGUAACAACUGGUUUAUUCUAAUUCUCAGUUAUUUUCAUCUUAGUUUUAUUAAGUCAGUUUCAUUCUGUGGAAUUAAACACAAAUAUUUAGAUCUGACCGUUAGCGGAAGCUUGUCGGGUCUUUGUCGCACACGAUCGAUCCGGAAUUAACGGAGGUUGGAUUACGGACCCGUCAUAAUCGGAGGUCUUGCUAUGAUCAGCUUUGCGGUAGACCUAACUACGAACGAGUUUACGUCUUGAUUCCAUUGUUCAAGAUUCCUUGGAACCCUUGAUGUGAAUGGAGAAUGCGGAUGUAAAUUUUCGUCCACAACCCCUUUGAUGGGAUUUAAUCUUAUACCAACUCUUUAUGUAUCAGGCUCUUAAUGCCAACCGUUGAUGUGAAUGGAAAAGCUGAUUUUCUUUGGAACUAAAAGGACAAAAAAUUUUAAAAAUUUUUUUAUGAAAAAACUAUUUUUUCGAAACUAUUUUUUCACGCUUUUUCGAAAAACCGAAUAACCCCUUAUAAAUAUUAUCUGAAGCUGUUAGGGAGAUAAGUGCCUCAUCUUUCAAUUUUUUAGCAGGACGAAUAUCUGAUCAAGUUUUAGGAUCAAAUCAGGUGAUGCGCACAUUUGAUCCGACCCAUCCAACCAAAUUCUAACUCGUCCAAUCCUGGCUUGACUUGGACUGAAUUUAUCAAAUCUAUUUAGCCUAAUUUCCGUACUACCACAUUAAAUUUGUACCACGUGCUGAGAGUGGAUAGCACAUGUAAAGGGAGCAUAUUGGCUUCCUUUUUGUUCGAAAAUUAUUAGGAACUAAUUAUAUCGGAGAUAGAUAAGUACGAAUAUGAGUUUUUGUAAGAAUAAAAAUAUUUUUUUAUUUAGAUAAAAAUAUGAGAAUAAGAUGGAAUUAGAAAAAUUAUGUUUGGAUGGUUAUUGGGAAUAAGAGGAUUAAUUGUUAGUUAUAAAUAAAAAAUAAUGAUAUUACCCAUAUAAUUGAAUUUAAAUUUUUAAAUUUUAAAUUUAUAAUUUUAAAAUAAAAAUUAAANCCUCUGUCUGUGGGUGAAAAGCAGUGCUGAAAUGUAACUGAGUCCCCAAAGUUGUCUGUAAACUCCUCCAGAAAUGCGACACAAACCUCGGGUUUCGGUCUGAUACAAUCGAUACUGACACGCCGUGCAGCCUGAUGAUCUCAUCAAGGUAUAGCUGCGCGAGUCUCUCUCUGGACCAGAUGGUCUGAACCCGUAAGAAGUGAGCAGACUUGGUCAGUUUGUCCACUAUCACCCAAAUCGCAUCAAAGCCACCCUGCGCUCUAGGCAAUACCACGACAAAGUCCAUCGUAAUCUACUCCCACUUCCACUCGGGCACUGGCAGACUCUGAAGCUUGCCAGCAGGUACCUGAUGCUCGUCCUUCACCUGUUAACAAGUCAAACACUGAGCCACAUAUCUGCCAAUGUCUCUCUUCAUUCCAUUCCACUAAAACUGUGCCUUUAAGUCCUUAUACAUCUUGGUUCCACCUGGGUGUACUGUAUAAGGUGAACAAUGAGCCUCUCUCAAGAUGUCAUCUCGGAUCCCUGAAUCCACCGGCAUACACAGUCGGUUCCUGUACCGCAGUACUCCCGAACUGUCCAAAGAAAACCCUCAGUCUGCCCCUCCGUCUGGCUGCUCUCUAAUCCUGAACAAGUACGGAUCUCCACUCUGUUUCUCUCGGAUCCUAUCCAACAGAGUGGGCUGUAAAACUAGAGACGUCAGCCUCGCCGUAGACCCAGGGGUACUAUCUCGAGUCCCAGCCGCUGUAGCUCCUCGAGUUGGGGUCUCUGCUUAGUGAUCCUCAAACUCAGGCUCUGCACUGCCUUCCUGCUCAACGCAUCUGCCACCACAUUCGCCCUGCCGGGAUGAUACUGAAUACUAAUGUCAUAGUCCUUCAGUAACUCCAACCACCGGCGCUGCCUCAGGUUCAGCUCCCUCUGUGUGAACAGAUACUUGAGACUUUUAUGAUCGGUGAAGACCUCGCAGUGCUCGCCGUACAAGUAAUGCCGCCAGAACUUCAAAGCAAAGACUACCGCUGCAAGCUCCAAAUCAUGCGCAGGGUAAUUCUUCUCAUAAUCCUUUAACUGCCAUGAAGCAUAAGCAAUCACCCUACCAUGCUGCAUCAGCACGCAACCAAGUCCACUGUGCGAUGCAUCACUGUAGAUCACGAAUCCCUAGACUGAUUUUUCGGACUCGUACGCGGCAUUAUGAGUUCACGGAUGCUUUUGGAUUGACGAAUGCCCUGCCGAUUCAUGGUUUUGGAUGAAUAGAGUGUUCAAGCCAUCUUGAUAGGUUUGUGGUAGUCUUCAUCAUGAUAUCCUAAUAUACAUCCCGGGAAUGAUCUGAGCAGAGGAGCACUUCGAGGAUUGUGCUAACAGCUUCUGCGAGCGAGAAAGAAGUUUGUAUACUAAGUUAAAAGAAGUGGCGAGUUCUGGCUACGGGAAGUUGCUUUCUAGCCACGUGAUUUUCAGCUGAGGGCGUUUAGCCAGUGCCAAGAAGAUUGAGGCGAUUCGAGAUUGGCCUAGACCAACGACGGUGACGGAGGUACGGAGCUUCCUGGGACUGGCAGGAUAUUACGUCAGUUUGUGGAAGGCUUUGCGAAGCUUUCCACACCACCCCUCACACGCUUGACGGCGGAAGGGGAUUCGUUUUGUCUUGAGCGACGACUGUCAGAGGAGCUUUGACGAGUUGAGGUUGAGGUUGACGUCGGCUCCUAUCCUUGCCCUUCCGGUGAUGGGGGAUGGAUUCGUGAUCUACAGUGAUGCAUCGCACAGUGGAACUUGUUGCGUUGCUGAUGGCAGCAUGGUAGGGUGAUUGCUUAUGCUUCAUGCAGUUAAAGGAUUAUGAGAAGAAUUACCCUGCUACUGAUUUGGAGCUUGCAGCGGUACUCUUUGCUUUGAAGUCUGGCGGCAUUACUUGUACGGCGAGCACUGCGAGGUCUUCACCGAUCAUAAAAAGUCUCAAGUAUCUGUUCACACAGAGGAGCUGAACCUGAGGAGCGCCGGUGGUUGAGUUACUGAACGACUAUGACAUUAGUAUUCAGUAUCAUCCCGGCAGGGCGAUAUGUGGUGGCAGAUGCGUUGAGCAGGAAGGCAGGUGCAGAGCCUGAGUUUGAGGAUCACUAAGCAGAGACCCAACCAACCGAGGAGCUACAGCGCUGGGACUCGAGAUAGUACCCCUGGGUCUACGGCGAGGCUGACGUCUCAGUUUUACAGCCCACUCUGUUGGAUAGGAUCGAUAGAAACAGAGUGGAGAUCGUACUUGUUCAGGAUUAGAGAGCAGCCAGACGGAGGGGCAGACUGAGGGUUUUCUUUGGACAGUUCGGGAGUACUGCGGUACAGGAACGACGUGUAUGGCCGGUGGAUUCAGGGAUUCCGAGAUGACAUCUUGAGAGAGGCUCAUUGUUCACCUUAUACAGUAACACCCAGGUGGAACCAAGAUGUAUAAGGAACUUAAAGGCACAGUUUUAGUGGAAUGGAAGAAGAGAGAGCAUUGGCAAUAUGAUGCUCAGUGUUUGACUUGUUAACGAGGUGAAGGACGAGCAUCAGGUACCUGCUGGCAAGCUUCAGAGUCUGCCAGUGCCCGAGUGGAAGUGGGAGUAGAUUACGAUGGACUUUUUGUCGGUAUUGGCCUAGAGCGCAGGGUGGCUUUGAUGCGAUUUGGGUGAUAGUGGACAAACUGACCAAGUCUGCUCACUCUUACGGGUUCAGACCAUCUGGUCCAGAGAGAGACUCGCGCAGCUAUACCUUGAUGAGAUCAUCAGGCUGCACGGCGUGUCAGUAUCGAUUGUAUCAGACCGAAACCCGAGGUUUGUGUCGCAUUUCUGGAGGAGUUACAGACAACUUUGGGGACUCAGUUACAUUUCAGCACUGCGCUUUUCACCCACAGACAGAGGGUCAGUCAAGAGCGGACCAUACAGACUCUAGAGGACAUGCUGGAGGGCAUGCGUCCUAGAUUUCUUGGAGGAGGAUGGUAUCGACAUGUGAGACUGGUUGAGUUUGCGUACAACAACAAGCUAUCAAACAAGCAUUCAGAUGGCUCCGUUUGAGGCAUUGUAUGGACGCAGAUGUCGAUCCCCCUGUUUUGGAGUGAUGUGGGUGAGCGGAGGACACUGGACCGGAGAUUUUACUUGAGGCUGAGGAAAAGGUGAGAGUCGUCCGCACACUUCUGACAGCACAGAGCCGACAGAGGAGCUACGCCCGAUAUCAGGAGACGAGACUUAGAGUUUUCAGGUUGAGAUCAUGUUUUCUCAAAGUCUCACCGUCCAGAGGGAUACGCCGUUUUGGGAGUACGUGGAAAGCUUAGUCCACGGUUUGUGGCCCUUUCGAUGUAUUAGAGCGUAUCGGACCGUGUGGCUUACAGGAUAGCUCUACUCCCCCGCACUUGCUGGCACCACGAUGUUUUCCACGUCUCAGCAUUGAGGAGAUACGUUUUCGACCCCUCAUCACGGAUUGACUUCACUCCACUAGAAGAUUGGAGAGGAUCUAAGAUACGAGGAGCGACCGGUGCGGAUUCUUGCUCGUGAGACGAAAAAUUGCGCAACCGGGUCAUCCCGUAUGUAAAGGUGCAGUGGAGUAAUCACGAGGAGAGGGAGGCGACUUGGGAGCCCAAGACGAUGAUGAGGGAGUCCUAUCCCGACCUAUUCGUUGCCCUGUCUUGAGGUAUAUUUUAAGUUUCGAAGGACGAAACUUUUUGUAGUGGGGGAGAAUUAGUAUCCUCAUAUAUAUAUAUAUAUAUAUAUAUAUAUAUUAUAUAUAUAUAUAUAAAUAUAUAUAUAUAUAUAUUAUAUAUAAUAUAAUUAUAUGGAUCUGCCACGUACCCCCCUCCCAUGCAUGCAUGCUUAUCAUUUUAAUUGAGGUUGCAACCAACACCUCUUUAUUAAAUUCCUCCCUAUCUGUCUCUGGAGCCAUACGCAAGGAGGAGGAGCUUGGGUGGACCGUUCGUCGCCGACGUCGCGCGCGGAGCCGUCGAGCAUACUGCGUCGCCGUAGUUUAGCAAGGAGGCCGGGAGGGAGUGUUUUCGUCGGUCUCGACGCCGUGCCGGAAUUGGAGUCGCUGGUUGAGGUGGGUAAUCUAUCUCUCAUUCCUCUAUGGAUUUCUUCUCUACUUCAAGCUUCAUUUCAAUUCGAGCUUAAGUGCUGAUUCGCAGGAUCUUGUCGUCGACUGUUAGUAUUUCAGCUCGUACGCGACGUAGGAGCAUCGGAUUUCGACGAGAUUUGUUCGUUGGAACGGGACUUCGAGACGAAUUCAUAGGAUCCUUACUCCCAAUUUGGAGAAGUUUUCUCUGUGAAAUCUCUUUUUACUGAGUUGCUGUUUGCCGAGCAGACUCUGAAGUGCUGAUUGCUGAUUCCAGCAUCGACCCCGUGUUUUACUAGUUCUCUGUGUAGGAGUGUCGAACGCGACGAAAUUUGACGUGUUAGAUUCGCGACUUCGAGACGAAGAUUCUGAGCCCAAAGAUGCGAUUUUUGGAGGCAGUUUGCCCUGUCAAACCCUAGUUUUACUAGGCAUGUUGUUGCCGAGCAGAUUUCAGAGAUGCUGUUUCGCAGGUUCCAGCGUCGACGUUUCGUAUUCUGGGCCGUUCUCUGGUAGGAGCUAGAAUUCAGCGAAACCUGGGCCAUUGAUGCGUGACUCAAGACAAAGCUCAGGACCCUUGUUUGCUGAAUUUGGAUAAGGUUAGCUUGGUCGAAUUUACGUUUUUCUUCGCUGCCAGGAGUUGCUUGAGAGGUGGGUUACAUCGGUUUUUACUCCUAAGUUCAUAUUCGUCGGCAUGUAUAAUUCUUCGACCUUUGGAUACUCUAUUCUAGCUUCGAAUUCAUGGAUUUAAUCGUAGAUUGCAAAUCUGAAUUUGGAGCAUGUGGUAAUAAUUAAGUAGGUUAUACAUGUUGGACUUGGAAAUUGAAUUAGGAGAAAACCUGCGAUUUGGACCUGUCACUCGUUUAAACUGCCUGAUUU